rnacentral:sRNA from 1 species
UUGUUAAGGUUCUGUCGUAAUGCGUGGAGUUCAACUCAUCAGCAUGAACUCAAGCUUGGGUGUGGUAGGGCAGACGAUACCCGUGUAGCGUGAAUGCGUAGAAAUCGGAAGAACACCAGUGCGAGCGCUCUGCUGGGUCAUAACUGACGUCAUGACGAAAGCCAGGGAGCGAAAGGGAUUAGAUACCCCUGUAGUCCUGGCCGUAAACGAUGAACACUAGGUGUCGGGGGAAUCGACCCCCUCGGUGUCGUAGCCAACGCGUUAAGUGUUCCGCCUGGGGAGUACGCACGCAAGUGUGAAACUCAAAGGAAUUGACGGGGGCCCGCACAAGCGGUGGAGUAUGUGGUUUAAUUCGAUGCAACGCGAAGAACCUUACCAGGGUUUGACAUCCUGCGAAUCCCUUGGAAACGAGGGAGUGCCUUCGGGAGCGCAGAGACAGGUGGUGCAUGGCUGUCGUCAGCUCGUGUCGUGAGAUGUUGGGUUAAGUCCCGCAACGAGCGCAACCCACGUCUUUAGUUGCCAGCAUUCAGUUGGGCACUCUAGAGAGACCGCCGGUGAUAAACCGGAGGAAGGUGUGGAUGACGUCAAGUCAUCAUGCCCCUUACAUCCUGGGCUACACACGUACUACAAUGCUACGGACAAAGGGCAGCAAGCUCGCGAGAGUAAGCAAAUCCCAUAAACCGUGGCUCAGUUCAGAUCGUAGGCUGCAACUCGCCUACGUGAAGGAGGAAUCGCUAGUAAUCGCAGGUCAGCAUACUGCGGUGAAUACGUUCCCGGGCCUUGUACACACCGCCCGUCACACCAUGGAAGUUGGCCAUGCCCGAAGUCGUUACUCCAACCCUUGUGGAGGAGGACGCCGAAGGUGGGGCUGAUGACUGGGGUGAAGUCGUAACAAGGUAGCCGUACCGGAAGGUGCGGCUGGAUCACCUCCUAACAGGGAGACAAAAUCGAUCAUGAUGUCUGAGUGCCCAGGUGGCAACGCCACCUGGGCAACCAAUGAUCUUAGGCCAUGAUCCUGUCAUCUCUAGGUCGAUCGGUACCUCAACCGAGGUCUCUGCACCAAGCAGCGGGAGUCAUCCAGCUGAAAGGAGCAGAGGAUUCGGAUCAGUUCCUAAACUUUGUCUAGGUCACCCCCGAGAGGGUAAAGACUCCUGGGCCAUUAGCUCAGGUGGUUAG